UAUGUGUCACCGCAAGGUUUCUGGUGGCGACACCAGACAUGACAUAGGUGGUUCGCCCUGUGCGGACCACCCCCGGCAACGCCGGAUCGAAUCAACCCGCCGGUGUCGACACCGGC
rnacentral:ncRNA from 1 species